rnacentral:rRNA from 1 species
AGAGUUUGAUCCUGGCUCAGGAUGAAACGCUGACGGCGUGCCUAACACAUGCAAGUCGAGCGAAGCACUUUACUUAGAUUUCUUCGGAAUGAAGAGUUUUGUGACUGAGCGGCGGACGGGUGAGUAACGCGUGGGUAACCUGCCUCACACAGGGGGAUAACAGUUAGAAAUGACUGCUAAUACCGCAUAAGACCACAGCACCGCAUGGUGCAGGGGUAAAAACUCCGGUGGUGUGAGAUGGACCCGCGUCUGAUUAGCUAGUUGGUAAGGUAACGGCUUACCAAGGCGACGAUCAGUAGCCGACCUGAGAGGGUGACCGGCCACAUUGGGACUGAGACACGGCCCAAACUCCUACGGGAGGCAGCAGUGGGGAAUAUUGCACAAUGGGGGAAACCCUGAUGCAGCGACGCCGCGUGAGCGAAGAAGUAUUUCGGUAUGUAAAGCUCUAUCAGCAGGGAAGAAACUGACGGUACCUGAAUAAGAAGCACCGGCUAAAUACGUGCCAGCAGCCGCGGU